UGUGGAGGUGUGUGGUGGGGUGUGGAGGUGGUGUGGAGGUGGUGUAGUGGUGUGUGGAGGUGUGUAGUGGGGUGUGGAGGUGUGUGGUGGGGUGUGGAGGUGGUGUAGGGGUGUGUAAUGGUGUGUGGAGGUGUGUGGAGGUGGUGUAGUGGUGUGUGGAGGUGUGUGGUGGUGUGUGGAGGCGUGUGGAGGUGGUGUAGUGGUGUGUGGAGGUGGUGUAGUGGGGUGUGGAGGUGGUGUAGUGGUGUGUGGAGGUGGUGUAGUGGGGUGUGGAGGUGGUGUAGUGGUGUGUGGAGGUGGGGUGUGGAGGUGUGUGGAGGUGUGUGGUGGGGUGUGGAGGUGGUGUAGUGGUGUGUGGAGGCGGUGUAGUGGUGUGUGGAGGCGUGUGGAGGUGGUGUAGUGGUGUGUGGAGGCGUGUGGAGGUGGUGUGUGGAGGUGGUGUAGUGGGGUGUGGAGGUGGUGUAGUGGUGUGUGGAGGUGUGUGAUGGGGUGUGGAGGUGGUGUGGUGUGGUGGUGGUGUGUGGAGGUGGUGUGGUGUGGUGGUGGUGUGUGGAGGUGUGUGGAGGUGGUGGUGUGUGGUGGAGGUGGUGUGUGGAGGUGUGUGAUGGGGUGUGGUGGUGUGUGGAGGUGGUGUGUGGAGGUGGUGUAGUGUGGAGGUGGUGUAGUGUGGAGGUGGUGUAGUGGGGUGUGGUGGUGUGUGGAGGUGGUGUAGUGGGGUGUGGUGGUGUAGUGGGGUGUGGGUGUGGAGGGAUAAGAUGAGAUGAGUUCUGUUCUGAUGAGAUGAGAUCUGUUCAGAUGAGAUGAAAUGAGUGGGGAGCGGACAGAUGCAUCUCCUGCAGGGACAUCUCUCUGGAAAAAAUAAAUCAAUUGGCAAAUGUUACACAAACAACUCAG
ensembl:lncRNA